rnacentral:ribozyme from 12 species
AAGGAAAGAAUCUAACAUUGAAAAAAUAUAUUACCCACAACCUCUCCUUUUUUCUUUUUUUUGAGUGCGCUCUUUUUUCUUUUCUUUCUUCUCUUUUUCUCUCAUUUGCU